UGGGUAGGGGAGCGUUCUGUAAGCCUGCGAAGGUGGCCUGUGAGGGUUGCUGGAGGUAUCAGAAGUGCGAAUGCUGACAUAAGUAACGAUAAAGCGGGUGAAAAGCCCGCUCGCCGGAAGACCAAGGGUUCCUGUCCAACGUUAAUCGGGGCAGGGUGAGUCGACCCCUAAGGCGAGGCCGAAAGGCGUAGUCGAUGGGAAACGGGUUAAUAUUCCCGUACUUGGUGUUACUGCGAAGGGGGGACGGAGAAGGCUAUGUUGGCCGGGCGACGGUUGUCCCGGUUUAAGCGUGUAGGUGUGUGUUCCAGGUAAAUCCGGUUCACUUUAACACUGAGGCGUGAUGACGAGGCACUACGGUGCUGAAGCAACAAAUGCCCUGCUUCCAGGAAAAGCCUCUAAGCAUCAGGUAACAUCAAAUCGUACCCCAAACCGACACAGGUGGUCAGGUAGAGAAUACCAAGGCGCUUGAGAGAACUCGGGUGAAGGAACUAGGCAAAAUGGUGCCGUAACUUCGGGAGAAGGCACGCUGACACGUAGGUGAAGUGAUUUACUCAUGGAGCUGAAGUCAGUCGAAGAUACCAGCUGGCUGCAACUGUUUAUUAAAAACACAGCACUGUGCAAACACGAAAGUGGACGUAUACGGUGUGACGCCUGCCCGGUGCCGGAAGGUUAAUUGAUGGGGUCAGCGCAAGCGAAGCUCCUGAUCGAAGCCCCGGUAAACGGCGGCCGUAACUAUAACGGUCCUAAGGUAGCGAAAUUCCUUGUCGGGUAAGUUCCGACCUGCACGAAUGGCGUAAUGAUGGCCAGGCUGUCUCCACCCGAGACUCAGUGAAAUUGAACUCGCUGUGAAGAUGCAGUGUACCCGCGGCAAGACGGAAAGACCCCGUGAACCUUUACUAUAGCUUGACACUGAACAUUGAGCCUUGAUGUGUAGGAUAGGUGGGAGGCUUUGAAGUGUGGACGCCAGUCUGCAUGGAGCCGGCCUUGAAAUACCACCCUUUAAUGUUUGAUGUUCUAACGUGGACCCGUGAUCCGGGUUGCGGACAGUGUCUGGUGGGUAGUUUGACUGGGGCGGUCUCCUCCUAAAGAGUAACGGAGGAGCACGAAGGUUGGCUAAUCCUGGUCGGACAUCAGGAGGUUAGUGCAAUGGCAUAAGCCAGCUUGACUGCGAGCGUGACGGCGCGAGCAGGUGCGAAAGCAGGUCAUAGUGAUCCGGUGGUUCUGAAUGGAAGGGCCAUCGCUCAACGGAUAAAAGGUACUCCGGGGAUAACAGGCUGAUACCGCCCAAGAGUUCAUAUCGACGGCGGUGUUUGGCACCUCGAUGUCGGCUCAUCACAUCCUGGGGCUGAAGUAGGUCCCAAGGGUAUGGCUGUUCGCCAUUUAAAGUGGUACGCGAGCUGGGUUUAGAACGUCGUGAGACAGUUCGGUCCCUAUCUGCCGUGGGCGCUGGAGAACUGAGGGGGGCUGCUCCUAGUACGAGAGGACCGGAGUGGACGCAUCACUGGUGUUCGGGUUGUCAUGCCAAUGGCACUGCCCGGUAGCUAAAUGCGGAAGAGAUAAGUGCUGAAAGCAUCUAAGCACGAAACUUGCCCCGAGAUGAGUUCUCCCUGAGACUUUAGGUCUCCUGAAGGAACGUUGAAGACGACGACGUUGAUAGGCCGGGUGUGUAAGCGCAGCGAUGCGUUGAGCUAACCGGUACUAAUGAACCGUGAGGCUUAACCUUACA
rnacentral:rRNA from 1 species